UCUCUAAAUUAAAGAAACAAGAUAAUCAUUCCGUCUGCUUUGCUUAAAUAAGGAAUUUGACGUAUAGCAUUUACUUUUUUGUUGUUGAAAGUUGAGUACUUUUUCCACCACUGAACUCAAGUACAUGUAAAAUCAGGUACUUUUAGACUUGAACUCUAAUAGUAUUUUACUGGGUACUUACCUAUUAAAGUAUCUUUACUUUUACUCAAGUAUGACAAUUGAGUACUUUUCCCACCACUUGCUCUCAGUCUUGCAUUUGAAAAUGUUUUCACUGUACUCAGGCAGAAAAUGAAAGAAAGAUGUUGUGCCUGUGUCACCAGAUUCAGUUACCGAAGCAGUGAGGAUGAGACAAUAACAGUGAUGUGGGUACAUGUUUAAAGUCCUAGAUGCACGUUUUGUUGUAUAUUUUAUUUAAUGUUCUGAGAGUAUGAUUGUUUUCAUUUUAUUACAGGAGCAGCUGCUUUCUUGUCCAGGUAUUUCAUUUAUUGAUGUCUCUUUGUGAGAUUUCCUGGAUAUAAAUGGAUAGAAACUGUCAUAACAUGUUCCAUCAGCCUUGAUACAUACUCACUUGCUGUUUAUAGUUAUUUUUGCUCAAAUGACACAAGGUCAGGUGAUUUUCAGAUGAUCACAUCUGGAUUAUUCAAAUUCAACAUCCAAUUUCCGUUUUUCUUUGAAUAAAAUUAAACAUGUUUUUAAACUAAUCUGUUGGUAUAAUUGGGAAUAGAUUUUAUAUAUUUAUAUUCUAGUUCAGUUUCAUUGAAAGACCACAUAAUGAACCCAUAUUGUUUUAUGCACUUCUGAUUAAUACACAAUCUGUAGUAUAAAUGAUUUGUUGUCAGGCACAUUCAUCAACUGAUUGUCCUGACACAUUUUCAAACGUAAUAAUCUACUGCAGGGUUCAUCAACUAGGUUUGGCCUCGGUCCAAAUUGUUUCUGAGCUAAUAGUCGGCGGGCCAGAACAUAAUUAGUAAUUCGCACACAAUGAAUUGGCCUACACUACAAAUUAAACAAAAUGUUAAACACAUCGGAUUAGUACAUAUAAAUAAACUCAGUGACAAUAAUAUAAUAAUUUCGAUCUGAAUACGGUCAUAAAAGCUCCAUGUCUCUAUUCAAUUAUUAUCUUUGUCUAUUUCUCUGUGCAUUGAUUGGUGGGGAAAACAGGUAUACGUAGGCUACACCAUUAUUUUUAACGUCAACAUUCGUUCAGAACAAUUAGAUUGAUAGCAGGGGAAAAUGUGCUCUCAAAAAGUAUCAAAAGAAAGGUGGACAAUGAACAUCGAAGUUUCAGGGAAGGAUGUACAGAGAUAUGUGUUCAUAUUACCGUAUUUUCCCAAUGCCAAGCCAGUGUCUUAUUUACAAUGAAAAUGACACCGUUUGCGAAUAAUUAAAUAUCAGACGUCAUUAUGAAUCUAAACAUGGAACUUUAAAAGUGGCCUCCCGCUCCAGACAGAAGCGUUAACUGCAAGCUACACACAUGGCUUUUUUUGGCUGACCAAUUCUGUCACUUAAAAAUGGGUUAAAUCUGCAGUUAAUAGGAAGAGGGGAAAGCUUGAGGCCUUUACUAGGAAGCUUGAGUUGUUUGAUUUUCAUUUGUUAGGCUAUUGCACUUAAACACAAUGAAGAACGCCAGGCAGAGGGACCAGACAACUUCUCCACCAUAUUUGAUGACUACAGCAUGCCCAAGGAUAUCAUUGCGUUUGAACAAGCUAUAACGAUACAGAUGUCACGCCCUGAUCUGUUUCACAUGUUCCUGUGAUUGUCUCCACCCCCUCCAGGUGUCACUUAUUUUCCCCAGUGUAUUUAACCCGGUGUUCCCUGUCUCUCUGUGUCAGUUCGUCUUGUAUGUUAGUCAAGUUAACAGUGUGGUUUUCACAUACUCCUGUGCUAUUCUCUUUUUAUAGUUCUCCCGGUUCUGACUCUGGACUACUUUCCUGCCUGCCUGAUCAUCCUGCCUGAUCAUCAGUACCUAUUGGAUUCUGAUCUGGUUUUGACCUUUUUCCUGUCCUUGACUUUUCUCUUGCCUACCCCUUUGGAUAAAUAAACAUUCUAAGACUCCUAC